UUCAAGUAUGUUCCAUGAUACCUCGAUAAGUUGUGAAAGACUUGAUAAAAUGCGAAUAUAAUGGGUUAUCGUGAAGAGAAAGAGUAUGCUUUAGAAGAGAGAGAGAAAGAGAGAGAGAGAGAGAGAGAGAGAGAGAGAGAGAGAGAGAGAGAGAAUCCAGAAAUAGCGAUACGUUACCAGUGAACUUUGUUUACGAUCUUUCGACUUUCUACGAGUAAAGCUAGCGAGUAGAUUAUCGAUUAUAGCUCGAAUUAAUCAUAUACAUUAAUAGAAACAUUAUGUGAAGAACGAAGGAAGUGACGAAUUAUAUAAGAUGAAAAAGGAAUAAAAGGAAGAACAAUAAAAAAAAAAAAAAAAAAAAAAAAGAAAAUAGUUAGAAAGAUGACGCGCAUUAUGCGAUAGAAUAUAAUAUAAUAUAACUCGAUUGUAAUACUCCAAUGGAAUAGUCGUCGAUGACGAAGGUUCUUGAUAAAAUCAUCAUCGUCUCGUCUCCCCCUUCCUCUCCCUAUAUCAUUAGCUUGGCCAUAAAUAAUCUCGUUGCUUUAACGUUUAGUUCAACUAAGUCGUCGCUUUCGUCCUCGUUGUCUACGUUUUUGUUACUUGAAACGACAUAGUCGUGUGUCAACAUGGUUUUUAAUCAUCAUUCGAAUGAAAAUCCUGCUUGAGAAAGGAGGCAUUAAUCCUUCGGAAGGACGUUUGAGAUCUCGCCAGAGGUGAAAAUCGAAGGAGGAAGAGGAUGGUUCAUAAAUUUCGAUGCACUUAGUCGCAGCUUCGGAAGGUCGAUCCUCUAUACUGUUGUUGCUCUUUUCGUUGGAACAAAAAAAAAAUAAGAGACACACGUACGCACAUACACGAAGUGUGUGUGUGUGUGUGUGUGUGUGUGAGAGAGAGAGAGAGAGUGAGGAGAAAAAGAGGAAAGGAUAGUGAGAUGACAAAUCGUUUGUUACGGAAGGAUGAACCACUACGGUGGUGGUCUGUUAUCCUCAUUCAACAUUCUCCGUUGGCUCGAGAAAAUCCAAAUUCUGAUAAACGAGCUACACGAGAAAUACGAUGAAAAAUUCGUAUAUGAGUUUAAUAUUACGAAGCCAUAUCUUUUUUCUCUUAUUUUCGUAAACAUUUGUAUCCAUUAGACGCCUGCCGGUAUAAUGGUAUUUUAAUAUAAACUCACAUGAACGCGCACACGUACACACAUACACACAUACACAUUAUAUACAUAAAAACAUUGUGAAUAUGAAAUUAAAAUAAUAAUAUCGACUUUAAUGAAAUUAGAAACAAUAGAGUAGUUUUAUCAUGUUCAAAUGGUGUAAAAAAUUUCAAGAUUAAUGAAAUCCCAUAGGAGAGAAGAAAAAAUUUUACGUAAAUAAUUACAUACUUAUGUAAAGCGAUAUAUAUACAUAAAUUGUAACGAUAAAUAAAAUGAAUAGAUAUGACGAACGAACGAUUUUACGAUUGUUCUAUGAUAUUACUGGGGGGUUUUUUUUUUUUUAAUAAAAAGUCUGCUGAAAAUUUCCUGAGAAAUUACGAUCCCCGAUGUAAAUACAUAGAACUAGGUGACCAUUAACUAAGUGAUUACAUAUAUAGAUCCUGUUGAUCGUGUGCGGUUGGUUAUUCUCUUUCUAUCCCUUCUCUCAUUUUAUUUUAUCGUCCCUUCAUAUUGCCCUUCAACAAUCCCCCUUUGAAUUCUUCUAUUUCCUCCUCUUCAAUUCCUCCAUCCCGUCUCCAUUUUCCGUCUCUCCUUAAAAUCGCGUCAAAGAUUGAACGCAGGAAACCUUCCUUCCUAUCUUCCUUACUUUGGUUCAACCCUAUCUUCCGUGCCAUAAAUAAAAUCUCACUGUUGUGUUAGAGUUUAUAUGCGCAUGUAGAUAUAUACGUACGAGCUAACAGAUGUUAAGACGAUGAAAACUCGUGUCGUCGAUUUUAUCCUCCUGUUUUCGACUUGGUGAAAGCACAAAAUACACUUAUUCCCUACACCAAUACAAUCAAUGUAUAAACACAUACACACACACACAUACACAUAUAUACAUACAUAUAUACAAACAUACACAUAAAUUGUUUUGGAAGGAGGAGCUUAUUUUUUUCCUUAUUUUUUUACUUUUUCUUUUGCUUUUGUUUUCGUUUUUUUUUUUUUUUUUACUCUUUCGAUGAAAUUGUUAAAGAGUGUGAAAAGAAGGAUCGUUUCGAUCGGAGAUAGAUACUUUCCAAAUAUUGAUCACUUCGUGAAAGCUUAGAAAAUUGAUCAUCGAUUUGCAUAACAAUUUUGUACGAUAGAUAAACAUUGCACGUUGAAAUCAUACCCAUUGAUUAAACGACAAAGUGAUAUUAUUUUUCCUUGAAAAUCACGAAACGAUACUAAGUUUGAUACUAUGAAUGAUUGAAUAAUUAGAUCGGAUCUAUAUCGAGGCCGAACGAUAGGAAAACGAUAAUAGUUCGUUCAACCGGCAAAGAACUUUAUUGGUAAAUUGAUACGAGACUUUCGCAUUGAUUUAACGAAACUUUCCGUUGAAUAGAAAUUGCCAGAGAGAGGGAGAGAAAGAGACAGUCGAGAAAAUAUCGAACGAAAUUCGAUUAAUCAAAUCUACUCUUCCGUUUUUGUCUUUUAUUUCACUUUCUAUUUAUUUUUCUUUUUUCCUUAAUUCAUUUUCUUUUCUUUUUCUAUUUUUUUUCUUUUUUUUUUUUUUUUUUUAUUCCCUUUCCCCCGUAUAAAUCCAAAUUAAAUCGCUCUUUGCGAUAGGUAAUUUAAAAUUAAAAAAAGGUAUCGAUUUUAGAUUCGAAUCGCCUAUCGUGUAUAUAAAGAGACGUAUCUUUUGUUCGGAACCAUUGUAAGCGUUCGAAGUGAGAAAAAAGUAGGGUGACCUGCGUUUGUGCAUAGCUAUGGAAAAAAAAAAAAAAAUAAAAAAAAAAAGAGAAAAAAGAAAAGAAAUAAAAAAGAGAAGAAAAGAAAAAAGAGAAUGAAAAAGAAAAUAAUAAAGAGAUCCGUUCUCUCUCUCUCUCUCUCUUUCUCUUUUACAGGAUAGACAGAAAUCGUAUAGCCAGCUGCACCAUUAAGCAGCACGUUCCUGCUGUUCUCUCUCCCUUUUACUCCUCCCAUCUCCCACUUCCGAGUUCCCUUCCCCUUAUUUUCGAGGUUUCAACAAACGUAAACCCUAUUUUCCAGUCCCUCUUCUUAUUUCGGCGAGCGACAAACGAAAAAAGAGACGACACAGGACACGCGUACAAAUUUCUUCAGGUUCAAACGAUGACGACAAGAACGGGAAUCAAGGAGAAAGAGAAAGACCAGCUGCAGAAUUUUUUUUUUUUUUUUUUUUUUUUUUUUUUU